ACGUGGUAUCCUGUCUGAAUAUGGGGGGACCAUCCUCCAAGGCUAAAUACUCCUGACUGACCGAUAGUGAACCAGUACCGUGAGGGAAAGGCGAAAAGAACCCCGGCGAGGGGAGUGAAAAAGAACCUGAAACCGUGUACGUACAAGCAGUGGGAGCACCUUCGGGUGUGACUGCGUACCUUUUGUAUAAUGGGUCAGCGACUUAUAUUCUGUAGCAAGGUUAACCGUAUAGGGGAGCCGCAGGGAAACCGAGUCUUAACUGGGCGUUAAGUUGCAGGGUAUAGACCCGAAACCCGGUGAUCUAGCCAUGGGCAGGUUGAAGGUUGGGUAACACUAACUGGAGGACCGAACCGACUAGCGGAUGACUUGUAGCUGGGGGUGAAAGGCCAAUCAAACCGGGAGAUAGCUGGUUCUCCCCGAAAGCUAUUUAGGUAGCGCCUCGUGAACUCAUCUUCGGGGU
rnacentral:rRNA from 1 species